CCUACGGGUGGCAGCAGUGGGGAAUAUUGCACAAUGGGGGAAACCCUGAUGCAGCGACGCCGCGUGGGUGAAGAAGUAUUUCGGUAUGUAAAGCCCUAUCAGCAGGGAAGAAAGAAGACGGUACCUGACUAAGAAGCCCCGGCUAACUACGUGCCAGCAGCCGCGGUAAUACGUAGGGGGCGAGCGUUAUCCGGAUUCACUGGGUGUAAAGGGAGCGUAGACGGCCGUGCAAGCCAGGAGUGAAAGCCCGGGGCCCAACCCCGGGACUGCUCUUGGAACUGUGCGUCUGGAGUGCGGGAGGGGCAGGCGGAAUUCCUGGUGUAGCGGUGAAAUGCGGAGAUAUCAGGAGGAACACCGGCGGCGAAGGCGGCCUGCUGGACCGCGACUGACGUUGAGGCUCGAAAGCGUGGGGAGCGAACAGGAUUAGAUACCCGGGUAGUC
rnacentral:rRNA from 1 species